CGAAAGCCUGACGGAGCAACGCCGCGUGAGGGAGGAAGGUCUUUGGAUUGUAAACCUCUUUUCUCAAGGAAGAUAAUGACGGUACUUGAGGAAUCAGCAUCGGCUAACUCCGUGCCAGCAGCCGCGGUAAUACGGGGGAUGCAAGCGUUAUCCGGAAUUAUUGGGCGUAAAGCGUCCGUAGGCGGCUAGAUAAGUCUGUUGUUAAAGCGUGCAGCUCAACUGCAUACGGGCAAUGGAAACUAUUUAGCUAGAGUGUGGUAGGGGUAGAGGGAAUUCCCGGUGUAGCGGUGAAAUGCGUAGAGAUCGGGAAGAACAUCGGUGGCGAAAGCGCUCUACUGGACGGCAACUGACACUCAGGGACGAAAGCUAGGGGAGCG
rnacentral:rRNA from 1 species